rnacentral:rRNA from 1 species
CCUACGGGAGGCAGCAGUGAGGAAUAUUGGUCAAUGGGCGUAAGCCUGAACCAGCCAAGUCGCGUGAGGGAUGAAGGUCCUAUGGAUCGUAAACCUCUUUUAUAAGGGAAUAAAGUGCGGGACGUGUCCCUUUUUGUAUGUACCUUAUGAAUAAGGAUCGGCUAACUCCGUGCCAGCAGCCGCGGUAAUACGGAGGAUCCGAGCGUUAUCCGGAUUUAUUGGGUUUAAAGGGUGCGUAGGCGGCCUUUUAAGUCAGCGGUGAAAGUCUGUGGCUCAACCAUAGAAUUGCCGUUGAAACUGGGAGGCUUGAGUAUGUUUGAGGCAGGCGGAAUGCGUGGUGUAGCGGUGAAAUGCUUAGAUAUCACGCAGAACCCCGAUUGCGAAGGCAGCCUGCCAAGCCAUGACUGACGCUGAUGCACGAAAGCGUGGGGAUCAAACAGGAUUAGAUACCCUUGUAGUC